rnacentral:rRNA from 1 species
UUUUGGUGAGGUGCCUUCCGAGUUCCCUGGAACGGGACGCCAUAGAGGGUGAGAGCCCCGUCUGGUUGGACACCGAUCCUCUGUAAAGCUCCUUCGACGAGUCGAGUAGUUUGGGAAUGCUGCUCUAAAUGGGAGGUAUAUGUCUUCUAAAGCUAAAUACCGGCCAGAGACCGAUAGCGCACAAGUAGAGUGAUCGAAAGAUGAAAAGAACUUUGAAAAGAGAGUUAAACAGUACGUGAAAUUGUUGAAAGGGAAGCGCUUGUGACCAGACUUGGGCUUGGUUGAUCAUCCGGGGUUCUCCCCGGUGCACUCUUCCGGCUCAGGCCAGCAUCAGUUCGCCCUGGGGGAUAAAGGCUUCGGGAAUGUGGCUCUCUCCGGGGAGUGUUAUAGCCCGCUGCGUAAUACCCUGUGGCGGA